GAAAUCUGUGCAUGCCCUGAAGAAAGCAAAGUAAAGUUUGCUACUUUUACUUUCUCUGAACGCGCCCUGACAUGGUGGAACGGCCACGUCUAGACACUAACCCUAGUGGUGGCGAACUCCAUGGGUUGGGAAAACCUGAAAAGAAUGCUCCUUCAAGAAUACUGCCCAAGAGGCGAGAUUCAGAAGCUUGAACAGGAACUGUGGAACCUUUCGAUGGUAGGCUCGGACAUAGCAGGUUACACCAACAGGUUCAGUGACUUAAUAACACUUUGUCCAGGAAUGUUAAUCCUGGAAAGCCAAAAGGUCGAGAGAUACAUCUGGGGACUAUCACCCCAACUUCGAGGAAGUGUGUUAGCUUNGUAGGCUCGGACAUAGCAGGUUACACCAACAGGUUCAGUGACUUAAUAACACUUUGUCCAGGAAUGUUAA
rnacentral:lncRNA from 1 species